GGAGAAGGUCUUCUUGAUGUUGUCGAGGUUCUUGAUGGCCUCCCCGAAGGAAGUCAGCACCUUCUUGCCAUGGGCACGCACCUUGGGGUUGCCGCAGAUGGCGGUGGCGCUGGACAGGUUCCCAAAGUGGGCAAAGAACCUCUGGGUCCAGGGGUACACCACCAGCAAGCUGCCAGGGCGUUUGGCGCCGGUUUCCGCUACGUCCACUUUGCCCCAGAUGGUGGUGAUGAGCUUCUUCUCUUCCUCGGUCCAGUGCACCAUGGCUGGCUGGCGGGUGGGGGGGCCUCUGCUUGGC